rnacentral:misc_RNA from 1 species
AAACGAUGCUUAUUUCUCUGUCUCUCGUUCUCAACGCGUCUCUGACCCACUCCCCUGCUUCACUACUUCGAUGCAGCAAAUUUUCAAGUACAAAGGACUCUUCUCAUGAACUCUGCACCUCCAACCCUCUUUUGAUCGUGAACCUAGCAAAUCACACCCCCCACCCCCAAUACAUUUCUCUUUCCAUGCCUCUCAUUCUCAUUAAACCCAUCUCGAACAGAACACACCCUCAACCCUGCUACGCAUUCCAUUCCUCCACCAGGAUAUCUUGUACUUACUCGCACAGUGCCUUCACUCCCCCUUCCUUUAGUGGCUUACACUGCAACAGGUGGUGGAUCUGCGGGUCCGAAUCACCAUCGGACGGCAUCGUUUGCUGCCGCUUUCUUUUUAGUUCAAUUUUUUUUUAUUUAAUUAGUAAUGGAGAUUAGAGGUAUUGGGUUUUGAGCACAGAUCAUGGCAUGGAGAUUUGGGUUGGGGUUAGGAUUAAGCUCCAUCAUUGACGAAGACAAUCAUCCCCAAUAACUGCAUGUAGUCAAUUUACCUGCUAUCCAAUUCUAGUGCCGUUAAAUCAGGUUUAUUAUUCUUCUGCUAUAUUAUUUUAUUUAUAUCUCGU